UGCGUCUAGCCAUGGCGUUAGUAUGAGUGUUGARCAGCCUCCAGGACCCCCCCUCCCGGGAGAGCCAUAGUGGUCUGCGGAACCGGUGAGUACACCGGAAUUGCCRGGAYGACCGGGUCCUUUCUUGGAUCAACCCGCUCAAUGCCUGGARAUUUGGGCGUGCCCCCGCGAGACUGCUAGCCGAGUAGUGUUGGGUCGCGAAAGGCCUUGUGGUACUGCCUGAUAGG
rnacentral:other from 17 species